rnacentral:rRNA from 1 species
AAAUUGAAGAGUUUGAUCAUGGCUCAGAUUGAACGCUGGCGGCAGGCCUAACACAUGCAAGUCGAACGGUAACAGGAAGCAGCUUGCUGUUUUGCUGACGAGUGGCGGACGGGUGAGUAAUGUCUGGGAAACUGCCUGAUGGAGGGGGAUAACUACUGGAAACGGUGGCUAAUACCGCAUAACGUCGCAAGACCAAAGAGGGGGACCUUCGGGCCUCUUGCCAUCAGAUGUGCCCAGAUGGGAUUAGCUUGUUGGUGAGGUAACGGCUCACCAAGGCGACGAUCCCUAGCUGGUCUGAGAGGAUGACCAGCCACACUGGAACUGAGACACGGUCCAGACUCCUACGGGAGGCAGCAGUGGGGAAUAUUGCACAAUGGGCGCAAGCCUGAUGCAGCCAUGCCGCGUGUAUGAAGAAGGCCUUCGGGUUGUAAAGUACUUUCAGCGGGGAGGAAGGUGUUGUGGUUAAUAACCGCAGCAAUUGACGUUACCC